rnacentral:rRNA from 1 species
UGCUUGAGUUACCUUCCACGGGGUGUAUUCAAAAACUCGUUUUGUAAUUUUGUCUGAUAUAAAAUUUUAAUACAACCUAAAACUUUCAACAACGGAUCUCUAGGUUCUCGCAUCGAUGAAGAACGCAGCGAAAUGCGAUAAGUAGUGUGAAUUGCAGAUUUCAGUGAAUCAUCGAAUCUUUGAACGCACAUUGCGCCCUUUGGUAUUCCGAAGGGCAUGCCUGUCUGAGCGUCAAUAAAUCAAUCAAACUUUGGUUUGGUAUUGGGAGAAGUGGCUUUGCCUCUCUCCUUUAAGCUAUUGGCGACGCUAUUUCAGCUUGUAAGGCGUAGUAAGUAAUUCCUCGUCAAAGCAACUGAGUGGUAGUCUGCCAACUGAACGAUUUAUUUUACAGCUUGACCUCAGAUCAGGUAGGGAUACCCCCUGAACUUAAGCAUAUCAAUAAGCGGAGGAA